ensembl:lncRNA
AGGGAUAUGAGUUAUUAUGUGUUAUUAUGAGUUAUUAUGAGUUAUUAUGUGUUAUUAUGAGUUAUUAUGAGUUAUUAUGUGUUAUUAUGAGUUAUUAUGUGUUAUUAUGAGUUAUUAUGUGUUAUUAUGUGUUAUUAUGUGUUAUUAUGAGUUAUUAUGUGUUAUUAUGUGUUAUUAUGUGUUAUUAUGAGUUAUUAUGAGUUAUUAUGUGUUAUUAAGUGUUAUUAUGAGUUAUUAUGUGUUAUUAUGAGUUAUUACCCGGACAUCGUUUUUCACCCGCGCCGGAGAUACCAGCACCGUGGAUCCCGCCGAAACUUCCAGCUCAACCACUCCAAGAACAUUACUUCAUUCUGGUCCACGACCCGCCGCCGCCCCCGGAGCACCGGUCGGGUUGCUAACCGCAGCGUGCUAGCCGGCCUCGCCAGGUCGGUCUGCCCCGCUGCUUCGUGCAGCUCAACCGUCGUCAGCUUUGGCCUGCUCAACGUCCGGUCUCUCACAGACAAAGGACACAUCCUCCACGACCUUCUCUCUGACAACAAUCUGGAUUUUCUGUUCCUGACAGAAACCUGGCAACUCCCCAGUGACUUUUCCCAUCUUAACGCCUGUACUCCCGGUGGGUUUGUUUACCAUUCAAAAUCUCGCGGCUCUCGGGGGGGAGGUCUCGCGAUAAUUCACCGCGUGAAGUGGAAAGUCCUGCCUGUUUCUCUCCCUCCGUUCUCAUCAAUGGAAUGCACCGUGACCCAACUACCUGGAUCCAUUCCUACCAUCAUUGCCCUAAUCUAUCGCCCCCCAAAGCCUAAUUCUAACUUUCUGCCUGAGUUCUCCUCACUCCUCACUGUCGUCUCAGCUCUGUCACCCAACGUGAUCCUGCUGGGGGACUUUAAUAUUCGCAUGGACAUUACCAACCUCCCCCUUACUAGAGAUUUUUCAUUACUUCUUGACAGUUUUGGUUUUCUCCAGCAUUCCAACUUCCCCACCCAUAUAAAAGGCCACACCCUGGACUUAAUCUGCUGCUCUGGCCUGACACCCUCCAACUGUUCGGCCAUCGACCUCAGUAUCUCUGAUCAUUUCCUAGUUUCUUUCACUGCUGCCCUCCCAAUCUCCCCUGUUAAACUUCCCCGUCUCAUCCAUUUCCGCAAUAUAAAAAACAUUGACAUCUCCAGCCUCUCUUCCAGCAUCUCCAACCUUGACCCCCUCGACUGCUCAUCUCCUCCUGAUCUUCUGGCAGAGCACUAUCAUACUACCCUUCAUAACCUACUCAAUGCCACUGCCCCCCUCAAGACAAGAUCAGUUCUCUUUUCCAAAUCCAAAUCAAAGCUCACGGUCGUCGGCUCGAGCGCCUCUACAGGAAGACCGGUCUGGCUGUCCACCUUGAUCUUUACAAGGCUCAUCUUUCCAACUACAAAGACCGUAUCAUGCAGUCAAAAUCUGCAUACUACUCCGAAUUAAUUAAUACAAAUAAAGACAACUCCAAGUUCUUAUUCAACCUGUUUAACAAAACCUUCUCACCACCUAACUCACUGCCCCCCCACCUUCUGUCCACGACCACCUGUGAGGCCUUGGCCUCAUUUUUUGACCAGAAAAUUGUUAAAAUUUAUCAGAUGAUUCUCAUCCCCCCCCCAAAACUGAACUCAUUCCUCACCCUCCGCCCCUGGCCUUUUUCCAACUACCCAGCACUUCUGCAUCUCAAAACUCAUCCAGAAUUCAAAACCACUACAUGUUCACUUGAUC